UGACAAAAGGAUUGACGCCAGACUUUGCGCUCCCUCGUCUGGUCGGCUCUGCCAUCAAAACUGCCGCCGCCGCAAAAGCGAGAGAGGACAGAGCCAUGGCAGACGCCAUGGCAGGCAUGGAGCGCGGUGCCUUUCAAGCUCUACUGUAUGGGAACUUCGAGCAGGCCGCGCAGAUCUACAAGGAGGCCAUAGAUGUCGGACCUGCCACAACUAAGCUUUACACGCGACAUGCGCAGGUCCUCGCCUACAAUGAUGAAGACGAGGGUACGUGUUCCCCCGCUGCCGAUGGUUUAAUUUGCAGUAUGGGUGGUGGAGUAUCCAUGGAAUCGAGAAGCUUCGGCGGAAUUGGAAAUGGAUCGGCAUCCCAUAUGUGAACAAUCGCUUUGAGCGUGUGGUUCUAGGUCUAUUGGGCAAGCUUGAGUAUGAAUUCGCGCGAUUCUGAGUAAGAGUCAAGCUCACUGGAGAAUUGGUGGGAUUUUUGAGUCCUGGUGGAUUUAUGCAUUCCUCCCAUGCGUUCCUCCAUAGGUUGGAUGCUCUUGUUGAUUUAACUAAAGCUGUUGACCUAGAACCAACUUAUUAUCUGAAAGGAAUUCUCCAUACGAAACUUAAGGAUUAUCACAGUACAAAAGAAGCAAUCGAGUUAGGAUCUGCUUGUGCACCUGGUGAUCCUGAUCUCAUCUCGUGAUUGGUAACAUGCGAUGAGUAUAGUGAAGAUCAAAUCAAAGAGAUCAAUGAGGCAAAUGAGAAAGGUGAUUUCAACCUUGCUGAGGAGAUGGGCGCCAAGGCCUUUGCCUCCUGCCCUGCCAGCCCAGUGACUGCUAAGAUUUAUGGUUAACUGGCUAUAAUGCACAUCAAACUCCGGAAGUAUAAUAUGGUGGGUGCUGCAAUGUCUACCUCCCACACCUCUCUCUUUUAUGCCUUUUUUAGUGAAUAAUGCAUCUAUAAAAUUAUAAUAUAAUUUGGCUUGCAGAGGCCAUUAAGGACUGUGGCCGAGUGAUUGAAAUGGACCACAAGGUGGUCGAACCCUAUCUUUGGAUGGAACCCUAUCUUCUGAAAGCAUUAGUAAACAUUAUUUUUAUUUAUUCAUAAGUAUUAUGCAUGACAACACUCAUAGUGUUCUCUAUUGCAUUUUACAGUUUCGCUUUUGUCAAGCUUAGAUUAUGACAAUGCAAUUAUUGCACUGGUAUUGGGUUAUCCCUUUACUUCUGACGACCUAAUGUUUGCUCUUUUUAAGAAAAUGUCAGAAGCACUUCAGUGGUGAGUAAAUAGAACUAUAACACUUAAUUUCCUUACAAAACAUAAUCUUGUUACAGUUGACUGUAUGUGCUAGGACUUGCAGCUAAGGUUGAAGAUGUGGAUACGGGUAGUGCAUCUUCUGCAAAGAAGUCUAAAUAUUAGUAAUUAUUGAGCAACUUACUUCAAUAAUACCCGCUUGUUCAAUACUAUGUGUCUUACUAUUAUGGAAUAUUUUGUUGACAUAUGUAGGCACGUCUUCUAUAAUACCAGUAUUCAAGUUGUAUUGUCAAUAUAUGCUAGAAAUGUUUCUGUUGAAAGUGUUAAAGUGGAGUUUGGUGACUCUGAGUUGGGUUCAACAUAUAAUUUUUUGGAAUAUCUUUAUUUACUAGUUAAUCAUGUCCAGUUAUCUAAUAUCUCAUUUAAGCUAAAUGUAUAUAUUAAGAUACCUGGUGAAGAUGCUUACAACCUCAAAUGUGAAUUAUAUGCUGCGGUACGCACUGUCCUUACUAUUUGAAUGUGGUUUUCCUCACAUAUAUCCAUGUAAUGCAAUAUUGUGUAUUAAUUACUACUUGAAUGUUAGUUCGAUAUUUUGGUUCUGCGUGGCUGUAUUCUCAUUUAAUAGGCUAUGUGUUUAUCAUGUUAGGUUGGAAUCAUUAGCGUUCUCUUUGUAAACGAAAAACCAUAUAUGCUUCCUAAAAAACUAUAAAGGCAGGAAAUUUCUGUUUUAAAAUUGUGUUUUUGAAGAUCAGAUUUGCUUAUAUUAGCUACUACAUCUCUCUUAUAGGGGUUUGUGGGAACUAUAUAUUUCAUUUUCCUAAUCUCUCAUCUAGAGGAAAUGCUUGUUGGCACUACUCCUUAAUCUGGUCCCUCAUAAUCUCACCCACGUACACACACUUGAACUGGGAGGUGAAAGAAUGAAGAUUGCACAAAGUGUUUUUGAACUGGUUGCUGCUCUAAAACUGAAUUGAACCAAAGUUCCCUUACAAAGUCCCCAAAGGGGGUGUAUAUAUAUACACGGAGGAAGACUCGGGACACACAUUGAUUGCACACACUUCUACUCCCUAUUACUACUGUUGCCAGUUUGGCACUGUUGUAGCUGUUGUUACUAACUUGUACACUCUUCUACACGGAGCUACACAUUUCUAGACUAUUCUACCAAACUAAUACAAAAAUACAAGAGCUAGCUAAUUAUUCUAACAAUGAUUUUAUAAGUUUAAACCAAAUAAAAAUCUAAUAAUGGAGCCAUUUCCUUUUAGUUUGUUUUUGACACAAGGUCAUCCCCGUUUUUGUUAUAUGAAACAGAAAUACAAGGUGGGCCGAUACGUAUGGGAAAAGAGGAAGUCAGGUGCAUUUCUUGAGAAUUUUUUGGUCUUUUUUUAGUGCAAUGGACUCUACAGCUGUAGCAUGUAGGUCAUAAUCAGUCUGUAGUGACUAGAAGAUGUAAAGGUUGUUCUAUUUCAGAAACUAGGUUAAAAGUUCAAACAUGAGUUGUCCCAGUGUCAAAUGUUUUUUGUUCUCUUCUACUGCAUUUUUGCCUACAAUACUGAAGGAAUAUUCAGAAAAACUAACCAUUGAUAGCCAUGAGUUCA